rnacentral:rRNA from 1 species
ACACUCCUGCGGGAGGCAGCAGUGGGGAAUCUUGCGCAAUGGGCGAAAGCCUGACGCAGCCAUGCCGCGUGAAUGAUGAAGGUCUUAGGAUUGUAAAAUUCUUUCACCGGGGACGAUAAUGACGGUACCCGGAGAAGAAGCCCCGGCUAACUUCGUGCCAGCAGCCGCGGUAAUACGAAGGGGGCUAGCGUUGCUCGGAAUUACUGGGCGUAAAGGGAGCGUAGGCGGACAUUUAAGUCAGGGGUGAAAUCCCGGGGCUCAACCUCGGAAUUGCCUUUGAUACUGGGUGUCUUGAGUAUGAGAGAGGUGUGUGGAACUCCGAGUGUAGAGGUGAAAUUCGUAGAUAUUCGGAAGAACACCAGUGGCGAAGGCGACCCACUGGCUCAUUACUGACGCUGAGGCUCGAAAGCGUGGGGAGCAAACAGGAUUAGAAACCCGUGUAGUCCC